ensembl:snoRNA
AGCCUCAUUCUAGAUGAGAAUGGGCACUAUUGAUUGGUGUCCAAAAUUGCUCAGUGUGGCUAAAAUUGAGACACAGGUCAUGCUUCCAUCACAGUAAACAUAUUACAGUGGUGACAAUGAGACCUGUAACAUUU